AGUGAACGCUGGCGGCAGGCCUAACACACGCAAGUCGAACGGCAGCACGAGGGAGCUUGCUCUCUUGGUGGCGAGUGGCGGACGGGUGAGUAAUACAUCGGAAUCUACCCUGUCGUGGGGGAUAACGUAGGGAAACUUACGCUAAUACCGCAUACGACCUACGGGUGAAAGCAGGGGAUCUUCGGACCUUGCGCGAAUGGAUGAGCCGAUGUCGGAUUAGCUAGUUGGCGGGGUAAAGGCCCACCAAGGCGACGAUCCGUAGCUGGUCUGAGGGGAUGAUCAGCCACACUGGAACUGAGACACGGUCCAGACUCCUACGGGAGGCAGCAGUGGGGAAUAUUGGACAAUGGGCGCAAGCCUGAUCCAGCCAUGCCGCGUGGGUGAAGAAGGCCUUCGGGUUGUAAAGCCCUUUUGUUGGGAAAGAAAAGCAUUCGGUUAAUACCCGAGUGUUCUGACGGUACCCAAAGAAUAAGCACCGGCUAACUUCGUGCCAGCAGCCGCAGUAAAAC
rnacentral:rRNA from 1 species